GACGAACGCUGGCGGCGUGCUUAACACAUGCAAGUCGAACGGAAAGGCCCUGCUUUUGUGGGGUGCUCGAUUGGCGAACGGGUGAGUAACACGUGAGUAUCCUGCCCUUGACUUUGGGAUAACUUCAGGAAACUGGGGCUAAUACCGGAUAGGAGCUCCUGCUGCAUGGUGGGGGUUGGAAAGUUUCGGCGGUUGGGGAUGGACUCGCGGCUAAUCAGCUUGUUGGUGGGGUAGUGGCUUACCAAGGCUGUGACGGGUAGCCGGCCUGGGAGGGUGACCGGCGACAUUGGGACUGAGAUACGGACCAGACUGGUACGGGAGGCAGUAGUGGGGAAUCUGGCACAAUGGGAGGAAGCGUGAUGCAGAAACGCUGCGUGCGGGAUGACGGCCUUCGGGUUGUAAACAGCUUUCGCCUGUGACGAAGCGUGAGUGACGGUAAUGGGUAAAGAAGCACCGGCUAACUACGUG
rnacentral:rRNA from 1 species